rnacentral:rRNA from 1 species
AACGAACGCUGGCGGCAGGCCUAACACAUGCAAGUCGAGCGAGAUCUUCGGGUCUAGCGGCGGACGGGUGAGUAACGCGUGGGAAUAUGCCUCUUGGUACGGAAUAGCCUCGGGAAACUGGGAGUAAUACCGUAUGUGCCCUUUGGGGGAAAGAUUUAUCGCCAAGAGAUUAGCCCGCGUUGGAUUAGGUAGUUGGUGGGGUAAUGGCCUACCAAGCCGACGAUCCAUAGCUGGUUUGAGAGGAUGAUCAGCCACACUGGGACUGAGACACGGCCCAGACUCAUACGGGAGGCAGCAGUGGGGAAUCUUAGACAAUGGGGGCGACCCUGAUCUAGCCAUGCCGCGUGAGUGAUGAAGGCCUUAGGGUUGUAAAGCUCUUUCAGCUGGGAAGAUAAUGACGGUACCAGCAGAAGAAGCCCCGGCUAACUCCGUG